rnacentral:rRNA from 1 species
UGGGGAAUUUUGGACAAUGGGCGAAAGCCUGAUCCAGCAAUGCCGCGUGUGUGAAGAAGGCCUUCGGGUUGUAAAGCACUUUUGUCCGGAAAGAAAUCCUCUGGGUUAAUACCUCGGGGGGAUGACGGUACCGGAAGAAUAAGCACCGGCUAACUACGUGCCAGCAGCCGCGGUAAUACGUAGGGUGCAAGCGUUAAUCGGAAUUACUGGGCGUAAAGCGUGCGCAGGCGGUUUUGUAAGACGGAUGUGAAAUCCCCGGGCUUAACCUGGGAACUGCAUUCGUGACUGCAAGGCUAGAGUAUGGCAGAGGGGGGUAGAAUUCCACGUGUAGCAGUGAAAUGCGUAGAGAUGUGGAGGAAUACCGAUGGCGAAGGCAGCCCCCUGGGCCAAUACUGACGCUCAUGCACGAAAGCGUGGGGAGCAAACAGGAUUCAGAUACCCUGGUAGUCCACGCCCUAAACGAUGUCAACUAGUUGUUGGGGAUUCAUUUCCUUAGUAACGUAGCUAACGCGUGAAGUUGACCGCCUGGGGAGUACGGUCGCAAGAUUAAAA